GAUGAACGCUGGCGGCGUGCCUAAUACAUGCAAGUCGAGCGGUAAGGCCCCUUCGGGGGUACACGAGCGGCGGACGGCAGAGUAACGCGUAGGAACAUACCCCAAAGUGAGGGAUAGCCCACCGAAAGGUGGAUUAAUACCGCAUGUGGUCUUCGGAUUAAAGCUUUAUGCGCUUUGGGAAUGGCCUGCGUAAGAUUAGCUAGUUGGUGAGGUAAUUGCUCACCAGGGCGACGAUCUUUAGCUGGUCUGAGAGGAUGAUCAGCCAGACUGGGACUGAGAACGGCCCAGACUCCUACGGGAGGCAGCAGUAGGGAAUUUUCCACAAUGGGCGAAAGCCUGAUGGAGCAACGCCGCGUGCAGGAUGAAUGCCUUUGGGUUGUAAACUGCUUUUAUAUGUGACGAAUAUGACGGUAGCAUAUGAAUAAGGAUCGGCUAACUCCGUGCCAGCCGCCGCGGUAA
rnacentral:rRNA from 1 species